GGUUGUGGUUCAGUGGUAAAGCACUUACCUAGCAUGCAUGAGGCCCUGGGUUCAAUCCCCAGCACCA
rnacentral:tRNA from 1 species